rnacentral:rRNA from 1 species
GGGGAUCUACCCGAUCCCAUCUCGAACUCGGUCGUCAAGCCCUCCAGCGUCGAUGGUACUGCACAGGUGACUGUGUGGGAGAGUAGAACGCCGCCGGGG